rnacentral:rRNA from 1 species
UACGUAGGUGGCAAGCGUUGUCCGGAAUUAUUGGGCGUAAAGCGCGCGCAGGCGGUCCUUUAAGUCUGAUGUGAAAGCCCACGGCUCAACCGUGGAGGGUCAUUGGAAACUGGGGGACUUGAGUGCAGGAGAGAAGAGUGGAAUUCCACGGUAGUAGCGGUGAAAUGCGUAGAGAUGUGGAGGAACACCAGUGGCGAAGGCGACUCUUUGGCCUGUAACUGACGCUGAGGC